rnacentral:rRNA from 1 species
UACGGAGGGUGCAAGCGUUAUCCGGAUUCACUGGGUUUAAAGGGUGCAUAGGUGGGUUGGUAAGUCAGUGGUGAAAUCUCCGAGCUUAACUUGGAAACUGCCAUUGAUACUAUCAGUCUUGAAUACUGUGGAGGUCAGCGGAAUAUGUCAUGUAGCGGUGAAAUGCUUAGAUAUGACAUAGAACACCAAUUGCGAAGGCAGCUGGCUACACAAAUAUUGACACUGAGGCACGAAAGCGUGGGGAUCAAACAGG